AGAGUUUGAUCCUGGCUCAGAACGUACGCUGGCGGCACGCCUUAUACAUGCAAGUCGAACGAAGUAGCAAUACUUAGUGGCAGACGGGUGAGUAACAUGUAGGUAUCUGCCCUUUGGCCUGGAAUAACACGAGGAAACUUGUGCUAAUACCGGAUAAGUCUUUACGGAGAAAGCUUUAUGCACCAUUGGAUGAGCCUGCACUUGAUUAGUUUGUUGGUGGGGUAAUGGCCUACCAAGACAAUUAUCAAUAGCUGAUUUGAGAGGAUGAUCAGCCACAUUGGAACUGAGACACGGUCCAAACUCCUACGGGAGGCAGCAGUAGGGAAUCUUGCACAAUGGAGGAAACUCUGAUGCAGCGAUGCCGCGUGAGUGAAGAAGGCCUUUGGGUUGUAAAGCUCUUUCGUCGGGGAAGAAAAUGACUGUACCCGAAUAAGAAGGUCCGGCUAACUUCGUGCCAGCAGCCGCGGUAAUACGAAGGGACCUAGCGUAGUUCGGAAUUACUGGGCUUAAAGAGUUCGUAGGUGGUUAAAAAAGUUGGUGGUGAAAUCCCAGAGCUUAACUCUGGAACUGCCAUCAAAACUUUUUAGCUAGAGUAUGAUAGAGGAAAGCAGAAUUUCUAGUGUAGAGGUGAAAUUCGUAGAUAUUAGAAAGAAUACCGAUUGCGAAGGCAGCUUUCUGGAUCAUUACUGACACUGAGGAACGAAAGCAUGGGUAGCGAAGAGGAUUAGAUACCCUCGUAGUCCAUGCCGUAAACGAUGUGUGUUAGAUGUUGGAAAUUUAUUUUCAGUGUCGCAGCGAAAGCAAUAAACACACCGCCUGGGGAGUACGACCGCAAGGUUAAAACUCAAAUGAAUUGACGGGGACCCGCACAAGUAGUGGAGCAUGUGGUUUAAUUCGAAGAUACGCGCAGAACCUUACCAACACUUGACAUGUUCGUCGCGACUUUAAGAGAUUAAAGUUUUCGGUUCGGCCGGACGAAACACAGGUGCUGCAUGGCUGUCGUCAGCUCGUGUCGUGAGAUGUUGGGUUAAGUCCCGCAACGAGCGCAACCCUCACUUUUAGUUGCCAUCAUUUAGUUGGGCACUCUGAAAGAACUGCCAGUGAUAAGCUGGAGGAAGGUGGGGAUGACGUCAAGUCCUCAUGGCCCUUAUGUGUUGGGCUACACACGUGCUACAAUGGUAUCUACAACAGGAAGCAAAACAGCGAUGUUAAGCAAAUCCCGAAAAGAUACCUCAGUUCGGAUUGCACUCUGCAACUCGAGUGCAUGAAGCUGGAAUUACUAGUAAUCGUGGAUCAGCGUGCCACGGUGAAUACGUUCCCGGGUCUUGUACACACCGCCCGUCACACCAUGGGAGUUGGUUCUACCUUAAGGCAAGGUUUUAAACCCUUGACCACGGUAUAGUCAGCGACUGGGGUGAAGUCGUAACAAGGUAACC
rnacentral:rRNA from 1 species